GUGAGGAAUAUUGGUCAAUGGACGAGAGUCUGAACCAGCCAAGUCGCGUGAAGGAAGACGGUUCUAUGAAUUGUAAACUUCUUUUGCAGGGGAAUAAAGUGCAGGACGUGUCCUGUUUUGUAUGUACCCUGAGAAUAAGGAUCGGCUAACUCCGUGCCAGCAGCCGCGGUAAUACGGAGGAUCCGAGCGUUAUCCGGAUUUAUUGGGUUUAAAGGGUGCGUAGGUGGUUUGAUAAGUCAGCGGUGAAAGUUUGCAGCUUAACUGUAAAAAUGCCGUUGAAACUGUCGGACUUGAGUGUAAAUGAGGUAGGCGGAAUGCGUGGUGUAGCGGUGAAAUGCAUAGAUAUCACGCAGAACUCCGAUUGCGAAGGCAGCUUACUAAGCUACAACUGACACUGAAGCACGAAAGCGUGGGGAUCAAACAGGAUUAGAAACCCCAGUAGUCC
rnacentral:rRNA from 1 species